rnacentral:lncRNA from 1 species
AUAAACAUGAAUGUCAAUUACGGAUCAAUUUCAAAAACACAACCAAAAAGUAUGUAGGCAUCCAUCAAAGUUAUUACAACACCAAAACAAAUUCCAAAAUAAGGAAAAUAAACCAAGAGUUUACAAAACUAAACCAAUCAUCUGCUUCUUGCUGCUCAUUUGCUUUCUUACUGGUCUAAUUUCCCUCUAAUUGGAAAACAUGACAAAGAAGAUCCCACUCACCAAGUGGACUUCUCCAAGUCAUAAAGAAAGUUGGCAACAUUCAUCUCACUUUUUGGUAAUGUUCAUCUCACCUCUAAUAGGUAGUUAACUAUCAAUUCAUUAAAUAUCUCAAAUUACAAUUCAUCAUAUUUAAUUAAAUUUUUUUACGAUUUAGUCCAUAUAUAAGCUUUUGUACAAAAUUGAAAACAAUUCAAAUUAUUAUUAAAAAUACAUAAUUUUUUAAUUCAAGUAUAUAACAAUUUAAAUACAAUCAUACUAUAUGAACUUAUCUGGUUAAAUCAACAAACAAGUUGAAUUGCAAAGACUAAUUGAUAAUUGUGCCUUUCCCCGAUUAUCCUUAGUUUGGUUCAAAUAUCAAUCUAUAUAAUAAUUCAAUCCAAUUUAUCAAUUUCAUACAUCCUAUAUCAUCCUAUUAUAUGCAUGUAUCAGUUCAAUUUUAUUAUUUGAAUGUCCUCUAAAGUUUUUCAUUUUAUUCAAUUUAGUUUCUAAAACCGAAUUUGCCAUAACUUUCAAGUUUGAGUUUCAAUUUUGAAAUAUAUAUCAAUUACAUCCUUUUAAGACUCUUUACUAUCAAUAAUUAUAGAAAUUUCACACCAAUUUUGAAAUAUAUACAUUUUAGUCCCUAUGUUCAAAAACUAACAAUUAAACUUUACAAUCUAGUCAUUUUUCAUAUAUAAGCUUAAAAACCUAACAAUUUAAUACUGAUUUCUUCAAGAAUUCAUCAAUGGAAAAUUUUAAAAACUUUAAUAGCUUUACAAAUUAGUACAUGGGCUAGCUAAAUCAAUCUCCCACGACCUCAAAAAAAUAAAAAUUAUAAAAAAAAUGACUUGAAAUCUUACCAAUUUGAGGGACCAAAAGUUAAAAUGCUCAAAGCCCUCAUCUUUCUUUCUCAUUUCGG